GAUGAAGAACGCAGCGAAAUGCGAUAAGUAAUGUGAAUUGCAGAAUUCAGUGAAUCAUCGAAUCUUUGAACGCACCUUGCACCCUUUGGCAUUCCGAAGGGUAUGCUCGUUUGAGUGUCAUUGUACUCUCACACUCCCAAUUGCUUUGGAUUGGGAGCGGUGGACUUGGGUUUUGCUGCUUGACUGAGGCUCACCUGAAAUAUGUUAGUGCACCUCUUGAUUGGACAUAGUACGGCGUGAUAAGUGUCUUCGCCGGCUCCUCGCAAAGAGGGUGGCCGAUCGGGAGCUCUGUUGCUUCAAACUGUCUUCGGACAAUCUUCUGGCGACUUGACCUCAAAUCGAGUAGGACUACCCGCUGAACUUAAGCAUAUCAAUAAGCGGAGGA
rnacentral:misc_RNA from 1 species